AAAGAAGGUGGCUUGUCUAAGGACCAGAAAUGAUGCUAAGUAGGUGGCUUUAACAGCACUGAUCGAGUUGGUGGUAAUGGAAACAGAAAAAGAGAAAUAAAAUCAGGAUAAAGACUGCACAAAGCCACCUAAAAUCCAGCAAAAGCUCAGAGAAAUGAGUUUGCUUUGUGAUAACAAGCAAGAGAGUCUCUUCUUUUUUUGUGUGUGUN
rnacentral:lncRNA from 1 species